AGUGUAUUUUAGGAUUUCAUUUCUAAUUUUUUCUCCAUUUUUUCCACAAUUUACACGACCAAUUAUCCAACUUACGCAUUAGGACUCCCCCUAUCACUAGUGAGUAAAGACUAGCACAUGCCUCCUUCGACACAUGUGAAGUUAGACUCCGCCUCUUUUUGAACUGAUGCUGCUGAUGCAGCAUUGCCGAGUAGCAUCACAGCGCUAACACUCGGAGAAAAAGUGCAGCGACUAGGUUCCGACACAUCAGCUCACAGACGCAGCCUUGUUCUGAUCGACAUCACCCUUUGGAGUGAUGUGGGGAGAAAGAGAACCCCAUCUACCCAUCCAGAGAGAGAGAGAGCAAGGUCAAUUGUGCUCCCUCAGGAAUCCGGUAGCCGAUGGUAAGCUACAUGAACAGGAUUCGAACAGCGCUUAGCUUGCUGUACCACUCAGAGCCCUUUUAUGUAUGAGUUCUACCAGUCAGGUGUUAAGGAGCAGUAAAAAAAAUACUUCACUAAAGUACAGCAUUAUAAAGAAGUUUCAGUGAAGUUUCUCCAGCACCAAGGCUGGAGCAGUAUUAGCAUUAGCCGCUAACUGUAGCACUUGCUCUUUCACUAUUCAGAGGCGAGUAUAUAAGACUGUAAUCUGCGUGUUUUAUCGUGUUAAAACGAGCUACUUGGAACAAACCGCUAGCUAAGCACUAGCGCUAAGCACUGCUGCUAACUGCCGCUAGUGCUUCUGCUAAUCGCACUGUUGAAAAUAUUGCAAAUCUAAGCAUACAGUAAUAAAUGGAAGCGUUUUACUCACCCAAAUAAACAGUUUUCAGGAGAGAAAUCUGUGUAGAUUAAUAUUCGACACCCUUGUUCCUUACUAUUGUCGCUUGAAAAAUGCGUCUUAUAAUCUGGUGCCCCUUAUAGUCUGUGAAAUAUGGUACUUUGUACCUCUAUAAUUAUAGUAUAAUCUAUAAUUCUGUUUCUGUGCAUACUUUAAUAAUAUUAUCCUUUCACUCAUUUUAUGCAUUCAUAUAAACUGAAAACAAUUAAAAUUAAGUAAGAAUAACGCAGUAUCAUGAUAUGCUGUGUGUUUUUUUAUCGUGUCAGAAUUUCUUGAGAUUUUUUUGCUGAGAUAUGAUAUGCUGGGAUAUGGCACACACCUAGUGGCAAAUGUGCCGAUUUUUUUAUUUUUUUUGAUCAAUAUUAGAAUUUCCAACAACGACAGUUUGCAUUAACGUGGUCUGGAAGCUGGAAUUGCCCUACAGGUUCCCCCACUUGGGCACCAAACUCUUUCAUGACUUGUUUCCUUUUUCCAGGUUAAAAAAACGCUAAAAAUGCUUGAAGGGUUAAAUACGUGUGGGUUCAAAACAAGAGGCAUUUAGUUUUUUUUUUUGUUUAAAAAAAAUAACUUUUAAAGGGAAACUUUUGAAGCACAAAAAAACAGAAGUGUGAAAUUUUCACAAGCUGAGGGAUUUUUCUUUGCCCUUUUAGAAGCUGGUGUUUUGAGCAUGACCUUUAAUUAACUGUGAUUUUUUUGCUGAAUAUUGUUAGAAGGCUGGUGAGUCACUGUGUGGUUUCUGUUUCCAGCACAUGAUGAGGAUUGUGAUGGAUAAAGCCGUCGAUGCUCGGCGUUCUGACUGUUCACUCUGAGGAAGAUUUUUAAUACAUUAUAAUAAACCGUGUUGAACCUGUUCUAGAGUGGCUCAUUCAGUCUGAGGUGACGUGGUUGACAUGUUUCCUGAGUGGGAAAUUCAAAGAAUGCCAACAAAAAUGUUACACUCAUUGACAAAAACAUAAAUUAAAGUCUAUUAAAGUUGAUUGACGUAAUGGAAUGCAACGUUAAAUGUGAUUAAGAUAUACAGCUCUGAAAAAAAAUUAAGAGAGCACUUCAGUUUCUGAAUCAGUUUCUCUGAUUUUGCUAUGUAUAGGUAUAUGUUUGAAUAAAAUAUAUAUUUUUAUAUAUAUAAAAUACAGACAACAUUUCUUCCAAAUGUCAAUUACAAAUAUUGUCAUUUAGAGCAUUUAUUUGCAGAAAAUUAAUGACUGAAAUGGCUGAAAUAACAAAAAAAAAAAGACACAGAGCUUUCAGACCUCAAAAAAUGCAAAGAAAACCAGUUCAUAUUCAUAAAGAGUCAUUUUAAGAGUCCAGAAAUCAAUAUUUGGUGGAAUAACCCUGGUGGUUUUUAAUCAGUUUUCAUGCAUCUUGGCAUCAUGUUCUCCUCCACCAGUCUUACACACUGCUUUUGGAUAACUUUAUGCUGCUUUACUCCUGGUGCAAAAUUUCAAGCAGUUCAGUUUGGUGGUUUGAUGGCUUGUGAUCAUCCAUCUUCCUCUUAAUUAUAUUCCAGAGGUUUUUAAUAUGUAUAAAGAUUAUUAGAUUAUAAGAUUAUUAGACAAAACUCUAAAGAUGAAAGGAUGCUGUAGUACCUCAAGCUUUGAUAAAAGAUAAGGUAUGGUUGGGCAUACAGGUGCAUAUAACAUCCUGCACAGCAUUUGCCCUCUUAUGUUACAGCUGGACCUAUAGAUCCUGCACACUCAUAGCAAGCAUUUCAGCUGGCCCCUGAUCAUGUGACCCCAUGUGAUCUGAGAAAUGGCAACUUUACAGGAGAAAGACUUUAUUCCAAGUCAUUUUGAAGAUUUCUAUUGGUCUCUUAAUCAGAAAAUGUGGAUAUAAUAUAAAAAUCAACGACCAGAUUCAGAUUAAAAGGUCAAAAAGUCAAAAUGGCAGAAAAGAGAUGCAAAAUUGAUGCAUGCCAGUGAUUUUAAUACUGUGAUACAAUCAGAAAGUGGAAAUAUUUUAUACAAUCUUCUAUUUGUUGACUCUUAAGAUCACAUAUUGACGCUGUUGCAUCUGAGAAAUGGUAACUUUUACAGGAGAAAGGCUUUAUUUCAAGUCAUGUUGGAGAAUUUCUAUUGGUCUCUUCUUCAUAAAAUGUGGAUAUAAUAUAGAGAUCAAAUACCAGAUUCAGAUUAAAAGGUCAAAAAGUCAAAAUGGCAGAAUGGAGAUGCAGAAUUGAUGCGUGCCAGUGAUUUUAAUACUGUAAUAAAAUCAGAAAGUGGAAAGUAUUUCAUUCUAAGUCAUUUUGGAGAAUUUCUGUUGGUCUCUUCUUCAUAAAAUGUGGAUAUAAUAUAGAGAUCAAAUACCAGAUUCAGAUUAAAAAGAGUUUGAUGAGUGCCAGUGAUUUAAUACUGUAGUAAAAUCAGAAAGUGGAAAGUCCCUAAGCUAAUUUUAAGGUAUGAGGGCUAAAAAUGAGCAGGAUAUGUGCUGUACAUGCUUGCAGUAAGUGUGUGUGAGUGUGUAGGAGUAGAGCAGGUGUGACAUGGCUGCCAGUGUAAGGGUGAGCAGUUACUGGAAGAGAUGAAAAUGACUCUUUCUCCCUAUUUCUCUCUCUCUCUCUUCCUCUCUCUCUCUCUCUCUCUCUCUCUGUGUUUUUCUCUGUAUGUAGGUGAGGCGACACUCGAGAACCAAAGUCAACAAGUCGUGUUUUUCUUUUUUCUUUCUUUCUUGCUGCCACUGAGAGCUUAGAACAGGAAGAGAGGAGUGUGUUAGAGGUGUGUGUGUGUGUGUAAGUGUGUGUGUAAGUUUGUGUGAGGAAGAGCGUGAGCGGCAGAACCGGUGCGACUGCAAGCCUCAAGCCAGGGUGUGAGAGCCGAGUUUGUGUGUGUCACAUUGUGUGUGCAUGACCGGUGUGUAUGUGUGUUAUAUGUGUGUGUGUGUGUGUGUUUGUGUGUGUUCCCGAGGGCUGAUGAGAUUAUUGAAGUGUAAUUUUUGCAGAAUGUUGCAAAAAUCCUCUGAGAACAGCGUCAGCCGACCUGCUGAACUCCCCCAGCCUCCAGCCCCCUCGCCAGAAAUCAGAAAACCCUAAACUCAAGAUUUAAUCUAAGCUAAAAUCCUGAUUUUGAUCUAAAGUAGGCGUUCCUGAGUCUCCUGAGGCUCUAGAUGUUAAUAAGUGUUCAGUAAUAAAGGUGUCGUAUUGAGGCGACUCAUGAAUCAUCACAGUGAAUUCGGUCAGAACCAAACUGGGUGGGAGGGAGGGGCGGGGCUUCUGCUGAUUAAUUCAGAUACAUUCAUUUUAGUUACCGUAUUUUUUGGACUAUAAGGUGUACCGGAUUAAAAGGCGCACUAUCAAUGAACGGCUAUUUUCUGGUCUAUUUUUUUCAUACAUAAGGCGCACCGGAUUAUAAGGUGCAUUAAUUAAUUAAUACUAUUAAUCAGCAGGUCUCGCCGCUGGAGAAAAAAAGAGUGAUCAAAGAGAAACAGUGAAAAUGUAAAGAAAAAGAAGUGAGACAGAGGAGGAGAAAGAAAAGAGAAAUUGGGUGUGAGAAAGAAGAAAGAGAGCGAAUAGGAAAAAUAAAAGGGAAAUAAAAGAAAUAGAAAAAAUAAGGAAACAAGAGGAGAAAAAGACAAAAAGAGGAAAUGAGGCCACAAGAGAAGCAAGAGAAAGAGACUAAGAGAGAAAGAGUGUAAGAGAAGAGAGAGAGAGAAAGAACAAAAGAAAGAGAGGGAAGCAAGAGAGAGGAGAAAGUGAGGGAAUAGAAACAAAUGAGAGAAUGAGAAAAGAGCAAUACUAGUAAUCAGCAGGUCUCGCCGCUGGAGAAAAAAAGAGUAAUCGAAGAGAAACAGGGAAAAUGUAAAGAAAAAGAAGUGAGACAGAGGAGGAGAGAGAAAAGAGAAAGUGGGUGUGAGAAAGAGAAAUGGGUGAGAGAAAGAAGAAAGAGAGAGAAUAAGAAAAAUAAGAGAAAUAAAAGAAAUAGAAAAAAGACAGAAACAAGAGGAGAAAAAGAGGCCACAAGAGAAGCAAGAGAAAGAGACUAAGAGAGAAAGAGUGUAAGAGAAGAGAGAGAGAGAGAGAGAAAACAAAAGAAAGAGAGGGAAGCAAGAGAAAGAGACUAAGAGAGAAAGAGUGUAAGAGAAGAGAAGAGAAGAGAGAGAGAGAGAGAGAGAGAGAGAGAGAGAAAGAACAAAAGAAAGAUAGGGAAGCAAGAGAAAGGAGAAAGAGAGUGAAUAAAAACAAAUGAGAGAAUGAGAAAAGAGCGAUACUAGUAAUCAGCAGGUCUCGCCGCUGGAGAAAAAAAGAGUAAUCGAAGAGAAACAGGGAAAAUGUGAAGAAAAGAAGUGAGACAGAGGAGGAGAGAGAAAAGAGAAAGUGGGUGAGAGAAAGAAGAAAAAGAGUGAAUAAGAAAAAUAAAAGAAAUAGAAAAAAGAAGGAAACAAGAGGAGAAAAAGACAAAAAGAGUAAAAGAGGACACAAGAGAAGCAAGAGAAAGAGACUAAGAGAGAAAGAGUGUAAGAGAAGAGAGAGAGAGAGAGAAAGAACUAAAGAAAGAGAGGGAAGCAAGAGAAAUGUGAAAGAGAGUGAAUAGAAAGAAAGGAGAGAAUGAGAAAAGAGAAAUAAAAUAAAUAGAAGAGAAUAUAGGGAGGCUUCUAAGUAAACAAAAUUAUAAUUCUUACAAAAAAAGUCUAAGUGCGCUGUAUAGUCUGAAAAAUAGUAAAUAGUUUUUUUUCCAGUCAAACAAAAAAUAAAAAAAAAUCAAAACUGCACCAGAUUUUAAAUCACGGAUUAUAUCUGACAAAAACGUAAUGAAUAGUCUGUAGCAUUUUAAUCAGUAAUUUCCCAAAAACAUGAUUUUUCUUAUUGUACUGGUUACUGCACGUGCACACAUUGAAGGGAGUGGAUGAAUGGGUGCUAAAAUAUAUAUCUGAAGACCCUCUUCCACUCACGGUGUAACCAGCCAUCUGAUUGGUCUGAUCUGAUUCUUUCUGUUAAGGGGUGGGAUUUUAUUUGUAAAAGUUAUUGGUGUAAGAAAAUGUUCAUUAUAUCAAAGUCUUGCAUUGUUUAGUUUUGCCAUACUUUUAUUCAAUUUCAAUUAGUUUAUUAUUAGUUUAUAAUUAUUUUUAAUAGAGAACUUUUUUUUCUAGCACCUAAUAAAGGAUGUGUGAUGUGUGUGUACUGAUUCGUACUGAGCAGACAGGAAGAAAAAGUGUGUGUGUGUUUAAGGGCUGAACUUUGGAGAGUAAAAUUGAGACGGGCUGUAAAAGGCUCGCUCGCUGCAUUUUUUCAGCUGAAGCAUUUUUUUCAGCUCUGAACAACACGGCUUUGUGUUUGGUCUGAAGCAGCCCGUGCUAACUUAUUAAUUCUGCCCCUGACUUUAUUACUCUUUCUCUCUUUCUCUCUCUCUCUCUCUCUGCUGGAGGGGUGGGUGAAGGGGGUGUUGUUUGAUCUGACGUGUAGAAUUUGCCUGAAGGGAAGGAGAGAUGGAGGGAAUGUGAGCGGAGGAGCUGGAGGAGGUUCUUUAUCACUGAUGGAGGUAAUUUGAGACGUGACGGGUUUUGCUGCUGAUGGAGACGGAGGAUUUUUAGGAGAGGAGCCAGAAAUUACCCUGUCACUGCCUCUCCCCUCUUCAUCAUUCUGUCAAUCAUCUCUCUCUCUCUCUUUCUCUCUCUCUCUCUUUUUCUAUUCUUUAGAGGAGUGUUUUUGUGUAGUGCUCCUGCUGUCAGCUCUCUCUCUCUCUCUCCCUCCUUUCAGAUCUGUGCUCUUAUUUUUCCUCCCUCCCUCUCUCUCUCCCUCUCUCUCCCUCACUCGCUCUCUCUCUUUGUGACUUCAGGAGGGAAAAUUGGACUUAAAAAAAAAGAGAAAAUUGCAAAAAGACAUAAUGGAGGAUUAGGGGGUCGGAGAGAAGGAGAAGAGAGAAAAAAAGAGUAAUUGAAGAGAAACAGGGAAAAUGUAAAGAAAAAGAAGUGAGACAGAGGAGGAGAGAGAAAAGAAAAUAUGGGUGUGAGAAAGAGAAAUGGAUGAGAGGAAGAAGAAAGAGAGUGAAUAGAGAGAAAGGAGAGAAUAAGAAAAAUUAAAGAGAAAUAAAAUAAAUAGAAAAAAGACGAAAACAAGAGGAAAAAAGACAAAAAGAGGAAAAGAGGCCACAAGAGAAGCAAGACAAAGAGACUAAGAGAGAAAGAGUGUAAGAGAAGAGAGAGAGAGAAAGAACUAAAGAAAGAGAGGGAAGCAAGAGAAAGGAGAAAGAGAGUGAAUAGAAAGAAAUGAGAGAAUGAGAAAAUAGAAAUCAAAUAAAUAAAUAAAAGGAAAAUACAAAAAAAGAGAAACAGAAGGAAAAGAGGGAAAAAAAAACAAUAGGAGAAAAAGACAAAAGGAGAAAAGAGGCCACAAGAGAAGCAAGAAAAAAAGACUGAGAGAGAAAGAGUGUAAGAGAAGAGAGAAAAAGAGUGAAUAAGCAAGAGAAAUGAGAGAAAGUGAAUAAAAAGAAAAGAGAGAAUAAGAAAAGAGAAAUAAAAGGAAUAGAAGAGAACAAGGGAGAGGAGAAAAAACAAGAGAAGGAAAACUAAAGCCACAUGAGAAGCAAGAGGAAGAGACUAAGAGAGAAAAAGAGUGUGAAAGAAGAGUGAGAGAGAGAAAGAAAAAAGAGAGCAAAUAAGCAAGAGAAAGGAGAGAGAGUGAAUAAAAAAGAGAAAUAAAAGGAAUAGAAGAGAAAAUACAAAAAAAGAGAAACAGAGGAAGAGUGCGAGAGAAAAGAGAGAAAGAGAGAAAAAAGAGAAUAAGAGAAGCAAGAGAAAGGAGAGAGUGAAUAGACAAAAAGGUGAGAAUGAGAAUAGAAAGAAAAAGACAAAAAAGAGAAACAGGGAAAGGAGGAAAAAACGAAAGGAGAAAAGAGAUCACAAGAGAAUUAAGAGAAAAAGACUGAGAGACAAAGAGUGUGAGAGAAAAGAAAAAAGGAAGCGAGAGAAGCAAGAGAAAGGAGAAAGAGAGUGAAUAGAAAGAAAGAAGAGAAAGACAAAAAAGAGAAACAGAGGGAAAGGAGGGGGAAAAAGACACAAGAGGAGAAAAAGACACAAGUAGGAAAGAGGCCACAAGAGAAGCAAGAGAAAGAGACUAAGAGAGAAAGAGAGAGUAAGAAAAAAGAGAGUGAGAGAAGCAGGAGAAAGGAGAAAGAGAGUGAAUAGACAAAAAGCAGAGAAUGAGAAUAGAAGAGAAAAAGACAAAACAGAGAAACAGAGGGAAAGGAGGGGGGAAAAAAGAGGAGAAAAAGACACAAGUAGGAAAGAGGCCACAAGAGAAGCAAGAGAAAGAGACUGAGAGAGAAAGAGAGAGAGAGCGAGUAAGAAAAAAGAGAGCGAGGGAAGCAGGAGAAGGGAGAAAGAGCAGGAGUUAGGUAAUAAUGUUGGGCUGCUUGUCGCUAACGCUAAUGUUAAACUACAGUCAGAAGUGCAGCCGAGUGUAAAGAGCGGCAGCUGAGAUUUGAUCAGGCUCACUCACACACACACACACACACACACAGACACACACAUACACACAGACACACACACACACACACACACACACUGUUUCUUUUUCACUCACUCAACCCCAAACAGUCCCCACACUCCACUUUCCCUCUCUCUCUUACACACUAAAUACUUGUGCACCCCCCCUAUACACACACACACACACCUCACGCCCUAUACACACACACACUCACACACACACACCUCACCCGAGACCACCUGACUCUAUGGUGUGUGACUAGCAUGUCGGAAUAUGAAUGUAAGAGUGUGUGUGUGUGAUGUGGAAGGAAGGUGACAGGUGUGUGUGUGUGUGUGUUGGUGGAGGUGAGUUCUGGAGGGGGGAAAGUUACUCAUUGUUGCCGGAGUCAACAAGAACCUACUGCCUGAGGGGACACCCCCCUUCUAAAGGUACAGAAAGUCCACACACACACACACUCACACACACACACACACACAGACUGGGACGGAAGCCUUACAGAGUGGUGGAGAAUGUAACAACCAGACUCUAAAGCCACAGAGCAGCGUGCCAAACUAGUCAAUCUCAGUGACACAACCAGCCUGAUCUCACACACACACACACACACACACACACACCUAUCCCUCCGCACCCACAAGCUCAGACCUAUUCAUCAUCUGCACCACAGUUUCUCACACUCGUAUCUCUUUCCUGCUACUCCACUGACGUCACACUGCAGUCCUGACAUUGUUCACAAGGUCCUCGUGUUGUUGUAUUAAUUUUCACUGUGUAAAAUCCCGAUAUUAGGAAUUUUGGGCCCGAUCCAAGUAUAUUUAAGUAUAUUUUCAGAGAUGCACCAAUGUGGGAAUUCUGUUCCGAUGCUGAUACGGCUGCAACUAACAAUUAUUUUGAUAUAAAGUCAAGUCAAUUAGUUUUAUUGUCAAUACUGCACAUGUGCAGGGCAUACAGAGAUUUAAAUUACGUUACUCUACUCAUCACGGAUUGCAGGCAGGAGGCGGACGUAAAAGUAUAAUUAAAUAAGAAACAAACAAAUAAACAAACAAACAAGGAGCAAACGAGAAAACAAGCAAACAUAAACAAACAGGGAGUAACAAACAAGGAACAAAAAAGGGACAGAAAUAAUAAAAAAUAAACUAAACAGGACAGGGAUAAAUAAAUAAAUAAUUAAUAAACAAGGAAUAUAGAGAGUGCAAUAAACAAGAAAACGAGGAUAGACAGAACAACAUAGAAAGGUUCAAAGACCGACGAAUAAACACAGACAUAAGAGGACUAUAUAUAUACACACACAGAAAGCACACACCUGGGGAAAAAGGUAACGAGGGGCGGGGCUAUAAAUUACACACACGUGAUGGAAAAUUACUGGGGAAGUUUUUUCUUUAACAAAGAUAUAUUAUUAACUUUAUCUGAGAGAAAGAUGCUCCUUUAGCUACCAAAACUAUUAACAUAUUUGAGGCUAGAAAAAACAACUGUUAUUUUUAUAUUUUAAAGUUUUUCUUUAAGAAGAUGAGAAUGUCACAUUCUCUGGAGAAAGGGCGGCUCUUUGAGCAGUCACAAUGUCCGCAGCGUCGGCUACAGUGUGCUGCGCCAUUCGCGUAGCGCGCUCGUGCUUGUGUAGCUUAGAGGGAGGGAUCGUCGAUCCUCUUUUUGACUUUGAUGCUCGAGACCAUGACAUAAUUUUGAUCGAUUCUGAUAAAAUAUCGAAAUCGUGACACCCCUAUUGACCAGGGUUGUGGAUCUCCUGGAACUGGAGCUCUAGAGCAGGGGUGUCCAAACUAAUAGAAUGAAAGUUUGCCCGCUGUUAAGCAGGUUUUUAUAAUGUGAGAUUCAAAGUUUGAACGCUAGGUGUCAGAAACGGGCCAAAGAGUCUAAAAGCAGAGAAGGUGCGCAUUUCUAGCGCAGAAAAUCGGGCCAAAGAGUCUAAAAGAGGAGAGAGUGCGCAUUUCUAGCGCAGAAAAUCGGACCAAAGAGUCUAAAAGAGGAGAGAGUGCGCAUUUCUAGCGCAGAAAAUUGGGCCAAAGAGUCUAAAAGAGGAGAGAGUGCGCAUUUCUAGCGCAGAAAAUCGGGCCAAAGAGUCUAAAAGCGGAGAGGGUGCGCAUUUCUAGCGCAGCAAAACGGGCCAAAGAGUCUAAAAGUUGCCGUAAUUAAGCAGUUUUAUAUUAAGAGACAUCAUGAAAUGAAACAUCAAUUUGAAAAAUUUUAGUUUACACAACACUGUCAAAGAUAAAGAUAGUAAGUCAAGUAAAAUGGUGUGUAAAUGAAAUAAUCAGGAAAAUGUAUUAUUUAAAGUGGUAUAUUUCAUUAUUUGUUUUAUUAUAGAGUCUGUGGCCUGUGACUUCAAAUAUAUUUCUCCUUCUGGCCCCCAACAAAAAAAGUUUGGACACCCCUGAUUUAGCGCUUCAGAGAGUGAAGACGCUGGGCAGACAUUGUCCAGCAGCAGCUUCAGCUUCAGCCUUCCUUUAUACAAUGGAGUGUUUCACAGGAGCUUUGUGGAAAGCACGAGUUCAGUGGGUGAGAGAGAGAGAGAGAGAGAGAGGGAGUGAGUAAGAGAAAGAGAGAGAGAGAGAGAGAGAGAGAAGUGUGUAAAAGCACACAAUCUGUAAUGGUGUAUACUGUUCUCACAUCAGAAUUUAUGACACAUCUGGACCCAGCAAGGCUCACAGACUGACCACAGAGCAGCCUACUCAUCUAUUCAUCUAUUCAUCUACCCUCACUCUCUUUAUCUCUUUCUCUGUCUUUUUUAUCUCUCUCUUUUUCGUUUCAGCUUUCCCUGGGUUUAGUCUUUUUUUUUUGCUCCCCUCCUCCCCCCGUCUCUCUGGUUCUCUGUGGUUCUCCAUGGCGCUGCUCUCUCUCUCUCUCUCUCUCUCUCUCUCUCUCUCUCCGCUGCGGUUUCUCCUCCACUCGGAUAAUUACAGAAAGCUGAGUACGUAGGAGGGAGGAGAGAGAGAGAGAGAGGAAAGGAAGGAAGGAGGGAGGAAUGGAGGGAAGGCAUGUCUAAAAAUAAACUUGGACUCCUGUAGAAGAAGAGAGAGAGUUUUGUGUUGUGAGAGGUUGUAAUUGUCUGGUGUAAUUGCAGGACGGGAGCUGGGAGCCGUUGUCGCGUGUUUUUGUCGUUUACUUUUGUUCUGUUUUUCUCUCGACUUUGAAAAACUCUCCGAAGCUCUCAGUGCUGUUUGAGUUUCAGAUGGAUGUGAUUAGAUAGCUGGCAGCAGAGUGUGUGAGUGUGUUUGUGUGUGUGUGAGAGUGUGUGUGUGUGUGUUUGUGCGUGUGUGAGUGUGUGUGUGUGUGUUUGUGUGUGUGUGUGCAUUCAGAUUUUAUUAGGCAGGAGUCUAAAGACUUGUUAGAACAUAUGAGAGAGAGAGAGAGAGAGAUAGA